GACGAACGCUGGCGGCGUGCUUAACACAUGCAAGUCGAACGGUAAGGCCCUUCGGGGUACACGAGUGGCGAACGGGUGAGUAACACGUGGGUGAUCUGCCCUGCACUUCGGGAUAAGCCUGGGAAACUGGGUCUAAUACCGGAUAGGACCACUGCCUGCAUGGGUGGUGGUGGAAAGCUUUUGCGGGGUGGGAUGGGCCCGCGGCCUAUCAGCUUGUUGGUGGGGUGAUGGCCUACCGAGGCGACGACGGGUAGCCGGCCUGAGUGGGUGACCGGCCACACUGGUACUGAGGUACGGCCCAGACUACUACGGGAGGCAGCAGUGGGGAAUAUUGCACAAUGGGCGCAAGCCUGAUGCAGCGACGCCGCGUGAGGGAUGACGGCCUUCGGGUUGUAAACCUCUUUCAGCACCGACGAAGCGCAAGUGACGGUAGGUGCAGAAGAAGGACCGGCCAACUACGUGCCAGCCGCCGCCGUAA
rnacentral:rRNA from 1 species